ACCAUGCAAGUCNAGCGGCAGCACGGGUACUUGUUACCUGGUUGGCGAGCGGCGGACGGGUGAGUAAUGCCUAGGAAUCUGCCUGGUAGUGGGGGAUAACGCUCGGAAACGGACGCUAAUACCGCAUACGUCCUACGGGAGAAAGCAGGGGACCUUCGGGCCUUGCGCUAUCAGAUGAGCCUAGGUCGGAUUAGCUAGUUGGUGAGGUAAUGGCUCACCAAGGCGACGAUCCGUAACUGGUCUGAGAGGAUGAUCAGUCACACUGGAACUGAGACACGGUCCAGACUCCUACGGGAGGCAGCAGUGGGGAAUAUUGGACAAUGGGCGAAAGCCUGAUCCAGCCAUGCCGCGUGUGUGAAGAAGGUCUUCGGAUUGUAAAGCACUUUAAGUUGGGAGGAAGGGCAGUUACCUAAUACGUAUCUGUUUUGACGUUACCGACAGAAUAAGCACCGGCUAACUCUGUGCCAGCAGCCGCGGUAAUACAGAGGGUGCAAGCGUUAAUCGGAAUUACUGGGCGUAAAGCGCGCGUAGGUGGUUUGUUAAGUUGGAUGUGAAAUCCCCGGGCUCAACCUGGGAACUGCAUUCAAAACUGACAAGCUAGAGUAUGGUAGAGGGUGGUGGAAUUUC
rnacentral:rRNA from 1 species